rnacentral:rRNA from 3 species
AAAUUGAAGAGUUUGAUCAUGGCUCAGAUUGAACGCUGGCGGCAGGCCUAACACAUGCAAGUCGAACGGUAGCACAGAGAGCUUGCUCUCGGGUGACGAGUGGCGGACGGGUGAGUAAUGUCUGGGAAACUGCCUGAUGGAGGGGGAUAACUACUGGAAACGGUAGCUAAUACCGCAUAACGUCGCAAGACCAAAGAGGGGGACCUUCGGGCCUCUUGCCAUCAGAUGUGCCCAGAUGGG